GAGAGAGCUUUGAGAGGAGAGGCUGGUUCAGACCCAGAAAUGAUUGAUCAGUGGAUUGAUCUGGUCCAGGAGAAGAACAGUCUGCUCUCAGAGGAGUCCGAUCUCAUGGUGGCGUCUCGACAGCUGGA